rnacentral:rRNA from 1 species
CCUACGGGGAGGCAGCAGGUGGGGUAAUUUUGGACAAUGGGCGAAAGCCUGAUCCAGCCAUUCCGCGUGCAGGAUGAAGGCCCUCGGGUUGUAAACUGCUUUUGUACAGAACGAAAAGGUUUCUAUUAAUACUAGGAGCUCAUGACGGUACUGUAAGAAUAAGCACCGGCUAACUACGUGCCAGCAGCCGUGGUAAUACGUAGGGUGCAAGCGUUAAUCGGAAUUACUGGGCGUAAAGCGUGCGCAGGCGGUUAUAUAAGUCAGAUGUGAAAUCCCCGGGCUCAACCUGGGAACUGCAUUUGAGACUGUAUAGCUAGAGUACGGUAGAGGGGGAUGGAAUUCCGCGUGUAGCAGUGAAAUGCGUAGAUAUGCGGAGGAACACCGAUGGCGAAGGCAAUCCCCUGGACCUGUACUGACGCUCAUGCACGAAAGCGUGGGGAGCAAACAGGAUUAGAUACCCUGGUAGUCCACGCCCUAAACGAUGUCAACUGGUUGUUGGGUCUUAACUGACUCAGUAACGAAGCUAACGCGUGAAGUUGACCGCCUGGGGAGACGCGCGAGUAGAGANAGAGAGUAGACGNGNGAGAGNGACGACGACGACGACGAGGGAGGAGG